CUUGGCUCUUCUUGCUAAGUGCAUUGUGGGCCAAAGUCGUAUGGGCCAUUCACUUUUUUAAUUCCCUGGCUGGGACAUAUGGAAGGCAAAUAUGUAGCAUAAGACCGAGACUUGAUUAACAAAAGAAAAAACUGAAGGUGUCACUCACGGGAGAUAAUAAAGUUCUGUUCUGGCAGGAUAACUGAUUGCUAGACGACCCUUUCAUUAAAUUAAUAAAGCAGCCUCAAACAAAUGGGGCACUAGUGGCGAAGAGCUUUCAAACGAUAGGAGAUGCAACACAGUGGGGUUGGAACUGGGCUAGUUACCAGCGACAGUGGGAGGCUUUAUCCAUCUUAAGGGCAGACAGUUGUCGAUAAUGACCCUCCGUUCUCAGUCAUGAGAACCAGAGAGGAGUAUGUUGAUGCUUUGGGACGUACAGCCUUGCACUAAUGAAGGUUUUGUGUGGAAUAAGUGGUUACCUCCACGGCACGGGUUAAUCAUUUAAUUUUGGGUGGAAAGAGUUACAAGGACCUAAAAUCCAGCUGCAAAAGAAGAGGUAUUGCCAAUUUGGAAUGAAGAAUGCUCUUUCGGUCAACUAGUAUGGUUAAUUAUGGUGUAGAAUCCCCUCACAGGAGGACCGAAUUCGUUAAUGGAGCUAAGAGACAGAACACUUAACAUCAAAUUUGAUGUCUCGAUUGGAGAUAUAUCAAUUUUGGUUUUGCAAAACUAAAAACUUUACUAAUUAUGUAGCAAAACCAACGGUACAUGAAGACAAUUGAUUGACAGGCUAUUAUAUUAUUUGUUGUUGUGUUUUGAAGAUAGGAACACUACUACACCAGCACGGAGAAGCACCCUGAAACCAAGAAAAUGAUCCUGGUUGGAGAAGUCUUCCAGUUUCAAUUGGAUACUUUGGUAAGAUGUAAUUUAAUUACUCAUUUGCUUGGGAUCUCUGGUUGGCUGAGGUUACAUUUGCACGCUUUUACUUUAAAUUUGGCCCACCCUCGGUACUUGCUAGAAAUAAGCCUAGAGUGUCAUGACUCAUCUAUGUGACAACUGCAGCAACUUUGAAUCUUUCAGCCCGUUAUGCUAACUUUUGUUUUCUGAAAAGGAAGUAUAGUUAUGUUGAUAGAUCCAGCAUAUCAACAAUGUGAGCCUCACAUUGUGAGGCUAUGAGCCACAAAAGAAAACUCCAGCUCUUUUAAACCAAGCAAAAAUACUGAAGCAUUUCAUCUGGUUUUGCUACUACUCUGAUGACUUAGAGUCCUGUGAACGACUUUGGUGGCAUAGUCAUCACUUUUCUAGCGCCAAUGUAAAGCUUGCUGCAGUACGUAUGUACAAGAUGGUUUUGAUCAUCUACAACUUUUGAUAUACUCAUACACACGUACAAUAGAUCAAGUUUUUUGGAGCCCUAUCGAAUGCCAAAAAUGCUGAAGAGUUUCUGUACAGCAUUAUGGCCCCAUUUGACGUUGUUGUGAGGUAUGGAUGAUAUCUCGGGUCUUGGAUUCAAAUUUGAGACACAUUUGGUUCUUCAGUAUUGUCAUUAUUCGCCCUGGCCAAUAAUGGUUCUGCCAUAUGGAUUUCUUGAUUUAAUGCUGGUGGUGGUGGCUCGAUUGCAUCGAUUAUUAUCUUGCGCGAAUCAGGGUCUUCCCAAUCUUCACACAAAGUCAUCGUCUUGUCAGUCUUGAAGCAUUCGAGAACCCUAUCGGGACCAGGUUGCCACACGAUUACCCCAUCACUUUCUUGCAUUAAUAUGAACUUAAACUUGAUGCAUCUUCCUAUCGGUAAGUCCUAUUAAUGAAUAAAUCCAACCACUUAAAUAAUUUCCGGAUGAUUAUUAUAAGUCUAGCUAGACAAAGUUAAAAACUAGUGUACUUUGAUUCAACACAA